rnacentral:lncRNA from 1 species
GAAAUCCUCUAGCUCGCUUCAGAGCGGAAUUAAUAGAUUCAUCGAUGUUGCUUGUCUUUAUGUUGUACCUGUCCUCCUGACAAUAAACCCUUGACCAUAGGCUGACGUCGGCAUUCUCCAAAUACGUUGCAAAGUCCGGGUUUGCACUCCUUAUCUCAGCCAUGUACCGGUCAAAAUCUGAAACCAUAUGAGCAUAAGCAGCACCUUUCACCAAGUACAAGAGAUGUUUCCCUUUAAACUUUUUGACAAUGUUAUCUUGAAGGUGAU